UGGCUCAAGUGGUAGAGCACCUGCUUAGCAAGCAUGAGACCCUGAGUUCAAAUCUUAG
rnacentral:tRNA from 1 species